rnacentral:lncRNA from 1 species
AAACUUGGAAAGACAUGCAUCCCUCCUCUCAUCUCCACGAUCAUCCCCACCUCAACAACUACAAUCUCCAAGACUUUUUGGCCCGACCCUUUUCCCAUACCCCUACAAUAACUAACCUCCCCCCUCCGGCGUCACUUCCGCCCACCGUCUGGACCUUCCACUAUGAACCUCAAUCUCAAGUGGUACCCAUUUCAAAUGUUUCUUCUCCUUUCAAUGCAAAUGCGCCUGGUAGUGGAAAGAAAAGGUUCCCGUUUCCCGAUGAGAACACCGGCGGCGGCGACCGGCGACACAAGCGUAUGAUCAAGAACCGGGAGUCGGCUGCUCGGUCAAGGGAUAAAAAACAGGAAUGUAACUCUCCUUUUUACUUACUUUUGGCUUGUCCCGUAAUGAAUGUCACUCCUAAGUUGAGAUAAAAAUAAAAAUAGGGAAUUUGAUUUGAUUUGAUUUGAUUUGAUAUCCUAGCUUACAAUAUUUCAUGUAGUGAUAGUAGUGUGAAUAUACGUAAUAAAUUUUAUAAUUUUUUAUUAUAUGAAUUAUUAAAAAUAUUAUAUUUAUAAAGUGCUCUUAUUUUAUACGAACUUUAUUAAAAAAGCCUUAUCCAAUUGAGUUGGCUUGGCAGGGAUAAAUAAAUCGAGUCUAAUGUUAAUUUGGUUAACAUAAUUUAUUGAGUAUGAAAUAGAUUUGAACGAGAUUAGUUUAACUAUCAAUUCAAACACGAUAUUGAAUCGAACUUGAAUAAUUUUAAUUUUUUAAACGAAUGUGAUCUAAAAAUUAUAAUGUGAAGAGAUUCAAAUAAUUUAUUAAAUUUUAAAAUUUAUUCAUAUUUAAAUUAUUUAUAUUUUGAAUGAAGCUCAAAUAAAACUUUUAAUCUAACAGAUAUGAACCAAGCCCAAAAUAUUUGAUUUAUUUUACGUCCUUACUUAUGGGUUAGGUCUGCUGUAUAUACACUACUCUCCUAUACAGUAUAUUGCUAAUGGCUAUAUAUGUACUUCCUCAUUUAUAAAACAACCAAGUUUUAAGGAAAUUUUAAUUUUUUUUAUAAAAGAUUCGUAAUAUUUGUUAAAAAUGACUUCUUCCGGCUCAUAAUAGAUGACUGAAUUAUUAUUAUUAUUAUUAUUAUUAUUAUUAUUAUUAUUAUUAUUAUUAUUAUAUAAAUAGGGAAAUAUGUAGGUGCACAACCGUAUAACUUUUAAAGUUACACAAUCUACGAUAGUAGAGUGAAUUCACUUUACUAUCGUAAAUAGUCACUGCACGAUUUGAAAAUUCAGUUUACGUUCGACGAUGUCGAUGAACUACACUACGAUAGUAGAGUGAAUUCACUCUACUAUCGUGAACUACUAUUGUACUGUGUAACUUUAAAAUUUACACAGUUGUGCCCCUCUAUUUUUACCACAUAAAUAAUUAUCCGAAAAAAAAUGUUUAAAUUAAGUACAUCUUUCAAAUAUAUAUAAGAUGUAAUAUGUAAUUUAUUUUCUCUUUAAGAAUGUAUAUACAGAACUAAAGGUCUCAUAUAUGUAUAUAUGCAUGUAUGACAUUCUAGUUUGUUUGUUUGGCUCAAUAUUAAUUUGCUGAUUCUUUUGGUGCAUCUGCUAUUCUUCUCCCUCUUUCUCUCAUGUUUUUCCUUUUCCAUUUCGGUGAAUUUUACAGGCAUAUACAAAUAAGCUAGAGCUAAAAGUUGCCAGUUUAAUGGAAGAAAAUGCCAGGCUCAAAAAACAGCAACAACAGGUAUAUCAAAGCCCAGCUCCUUUUUGUAGUAUGGAAUGCGAUCAUAUCAAAGUCAUUUUAAUUUCCAAAUUGAGCUUUGAACUUUGUAUGUACUUUAAAUUGACUUGUACAUCUCUCUCUAGAUCUCUCUCUCUCUGUAUAUAUAUGUAUAUAAAUAUAUGUAACAAAAUUGCAUGUGUUGUUGACUAUAUAUAAUUAAUCACAUCUAUAUAUUUUGGGGAUGCAUGUAGCUAUGUGUAGCAGCAGGUGUUCAACUACCAAAGAAGCACACUCUUCAGCGAACGUCAACUGCUCCAUUUUGACAACUUAUUCUCUCAAAAGAAGAGAAAUUAUUUAUUUUAUAUAUAUAUUUGUUUGUAUGUUUGAUUUGAUUAGAUGGGUGUUUAAUUGUUUUCCAUAGCUACCAUAUAUAUAUAUAUAUAUAUAUAUUUGUAUGUAAACAUUGAAUUGGAUGA